rnacentral:hammerhead_ribozyme from 1 species
AUCCAGCUGACAAGUCCCAAAUAGGAUGAAACGCACGUCAGGCUGGAU